rnacentral:rRNA from 1 species
GGGGAAUAUUGCACAAUGGAGGGAACUCUGAUGCAGCGACGCCGCGUGAGUGAAGAAGGUUUUCGGAUCGUAAAACUCUGUCCUUGGUGAAGAUAAUGACGGUAGCCAAGGAGGAAGCCCCGGCUAACUACGUGCCAGCAGCCGCGGUAAUACGUAGGGGGCGAGCGUUGUCCGGAUUUACUGGGCGUAAAUGGUGAGUAGGCGGUAAUAUGUGUCAGAUGUAAAAGGCUAUGGCUUAACUAUAGUUAGCAUUUGAAACUGUAUUACUUGAGUGCAGGAGAGGUAAGCGGAAUUCCUGGUGGAGCGGUGGAAUGCGCAGAUAUCAGGAGGAACACCAGUGGCGAAGGCGGUUCUCUGGACAUUUCCUGACGCUGAGAAGCGAAAGCGUGGGGAGCAAACA